GUGGGGAAUCUUGCGCAAUGGGCGAAAGCCUGACGCAGCAACGCCGCGUGGGGGAUGAAGGCUCUCGGGUUGUAAACCCCUUUCAGCAGGGACGAAUCAAGACGGUACCUGCAGAAGAAGCCCCGGCUAACUACGUGCCAGCAGCCGCGGUAACACGUAGGGUGCAAGCGUUGUCCGGAUUUAUUGGGCGUAAAGAGCUCGUAGGUGGCUGAGUAAGUCGGAUGUCAAAUCCCCAGGCUCAACCUGGGAUCCCAUCCGAUGCUGCUCUGGGUAGAGUCCGGUAGGGGAGCGUGGAAUUCCUGGUGUAGCGGUGAAAUGCGCAGAUAUCAGGAGGAACACCAGCGGCGAAGGCGGCGCUCUGGGCCGGUACUGAAACUGAGGAGCGAAAGCGUGGGUAGCAAACAGGAUUAGAUACCCUAGUAGUCC
rnacentral:rRNA from 1 species